GGAAGUUCUUGGGUGACGCACCCCAGAAUCAGGCUCCCUCCUCUCUGGUUCCGAGUGCAUCACCCAAGAACCACA
rfam:Myotis brandtii contig261149, whole genome shotgun sequence.